AUUGAACGCUGGCGGCAGGCCUAACACAUGCAAGUCGAGCGGAGCGGCGGACGGGUGAGUAAUGCCUAGGAAUCUGCCUGGUAGUGGGGGAUAACGUCCGGAAACGGGCGCUAAUACCGCAUACUAUCAGAUGAGCCUAAGUCGGAUUAGCUAGUUGGUGGGUUAAAGGGCUAACAAGGCGACGCUCCGUAACUGGUCUGAGAGGAUGAUACGUCACACUGGAACUGCGACACGGUCAAGACUCGUACGGGAGGCAGAAGUGGGGAAUAUUGGACAAUGGGCGAAAGCCUGAUCCAGACAUGCCGCGUGUGUGAAGAAGGUCUUCGGAUUGUAAAGCACUUUAAGUUGGGAGGCGUUACCAACAGAGUAAGCACCGGCUAACUUCGUGCCAGCAGCCGCGGUAAUAC
rnacentral:rRNA from 1 species